CGCUUAUUCUGCGCAUAUUGGAAGUUACGCUACUAGGAGGCGUGUAUGCCAAAGCGCAGCAGGACUGAGCAGGUGCCAGUGUUCGGAUAGUCGUCCCUCAGUGCACUCAGACUAUAGCGAGAAACGUCCCGUCGUGGCUUCGCAGAUUUUGCCGUUCCUAAAAACGCGAAAACAUGUCGACGUCUGUUACAGUUCAUCGUAUGGUGACAACGUCCACGACAUCAGCUGUGCUGAUCAAUGUGGGCUACGUUAAGACCGUUCCAGGGAUUCUCAAAAUCCUUCAGAUCAUUUUGGGAUGCGUGAUUUGUGGUCUUGUCGGACACUACAUAACAAGUUCAAACUACCGGACGCCAGAGCAGUUGCAGGCUCAGUUGCCAAUUCUGAUAACGGCCGCUGCUUGUCUUAUCACGACCACUCUGCUGUUCUUCUCUUGCCUGUUCUCGAUCAGCACAGGAGCCAUCAUUCCAAAGACCCUCUUCGAAACGCUGUACCACGUGAUAGCAUCGAUACUGUACUUCUCCGUGUCUGUGUACUUCCUGGUGUACCUGAUGGAUAACAGGAGAUACGUCCCGUUCUACAACCCGAAGAUAGCUGCCGCGGCCAUAGGACUGCUGAAUACAGCACUCUACGUCCUCUCCUGCAUCUACUCCAUCAGAUCCUUCAGGCGAGGCUAGAAACCUUGGCCAGGUAUUUCACGCACAUCAGAGAAGGUUAACAAAACAACAACAGCAUUGUGAAGAGGUCAGGAGAGGACGAGAAGGAACACAAACACCGAAAAUAAAGCUUCUGAUACAAGACAUCGAAACCGAUGGGCAUUUGGGCAUUAUGAAAUGUAAAAACAGAGUUCAGACGCCUCUGUACGGCAGUUCAGGGGUAUGCUUCGUUAUACCUUGAUACCACAGGAAGGUACCAGUGGGUUCGUACUUUUCUUAAAAAUUACCUUGACAUUUUCCCGGGACAAAUUCUCUCGUUAUUGAAAAAAAAGAAAGAAGAGGAAGAAGACGAAGAAAAUAAUAUUCCUUUUUGGGUAGAUAAAGUCUGUCUGAGAAAAGAAAGGGAUAAGUGUAUCCAUUCUCUGGCGUUUGAAAUAUCUAAAUCUUUUUCGGAGGGAUCAAAAUAAUAGACGUAGGAUCUCUUGAUUUGCAAUAAAUAAAUAAAUAGAAUAAUGGCAUCUCUCCAAUAUCUACUUUACAUUCAGAAAUUCAGUUUUUGAAUAUUAUCUAAAAAAAAUGGCUUCAGUAAAAUGUAACUGAUAUGUAUAUUGGUAAACAGUUUGAGAAACGAUUGCAUCCGAAUAAGAAUAUUUCAAAAGCCUAGAUGGCAAUUAUAUUGUUCCCCAUAUUUUUCUUUGUCAUCAAGAGUUUUUAUUUUCGUUGUUAGAUUAUUCUUCGAGUAUCUUUCAAAUCUGAACGCGCCAUUGGUACUUGGUUUUAACUACAGAAACAGUACCCCAGAACUGCAGUCUACGGCGUUUUUUUGUGAGCGCAAUUGCUUUAAUACAAUAUAAAGUAUAAUAGGGAAGAAGCUCCAGAUACGUGCACGAAGGUUUGAACACCUCGGAAGAUCGAUUCUAUAGUUCCCCAAACACCCAUUCAAUGUUUUGACUUGGGGGAUAAAACGCAUAAGCUAAACAUGUCAUCGGGUUUGCAUAAAAUAAUACAUUUAGAAUCCUGAUGAGAAUAUUUUUACAAAUUCAGCAUCGAGAAUUCUAAAAUAAGAUUCAGCCCACUGAUGAAAUCAGCAAGCCCGUAGAUUUAAGAAAGUGGCUAACUGAAGGCUAUACAAUGCCAUUUUUGAGAGAAACCAAAGUUAAUUCUCCACUUUUACGCUCUUUCCUACUCAUUCGAUUCCACCGUCUACCAGGUAACUGCGUACGAGUCGUAGAAUCUCACAAUCAAUCUGACUCUUGCCAACAAUGUAAGAUCUAGUACAUAUCUUUAGUGCUUUACUUCUGUCUUUUUAAACACAUUUUUAUGAGCGUCUGUUUGUCAUUAAUUAUAUUUGUACCUGUUUUUUGAGCUUUAAAAUUGUGCUAGUCUUAGAAA